AUGCUGGAGCACGAUCAACCUGACCACGAAGGUCUAUUUCCUGCAAGCAAACGAAGAACAAGCAAGAAAUUGAGAUUGCAAUCUGGAUAUUGCGAAUAUAAGAGGAAAGCUUUAUUGAUCAAGGUGGGGUUUUAUGACGCCUUUGUCUGGUCGUUGAACACAAAUGAAGUACGCAAAGUUGCAGUUAUGGCAAACUUUAAUCUAAACAAAACCCAAAGUCUAAACGAUGCCCUAAGGGCUGUAUAUAUGGAGGAAAGAGGAGGAAAUUUCGUGGCCCUUGGAGGAGGGGUCCGAAACCAACCCUAA
rnacentral:rRNA from 1 species